rnacentral:rRNA from 1 species
AUAUUGGUCAAUGGACGAGAGUCUGAACCAGCCAAGUCGCGUGAGGGAAGACUGCCCUAUGGGUUGUAAACCUCUUUUAUAAGGGAAGAAUAAGUUCUACGUGUAGAAUGAUGCCUGUACCUUAUGAAUAAGCAUCGGCUAACUCCGUGCCAGCAGCCGCGGUAAUACGGAGGAUGCGAGCGUUAUCCGGAUUUAUUGGGUUUAAAGGGUGCGUAGGCGGUUUAUUAAGUUAGUGGUUAAAUAUUUGAGCUAAACUCAAUUGUGCCAUUAAUACUGGUAAACUGGAGUACAGACGAGGUAGGCGGAAUAAGUUAAGUAGCGGUGAAAUGCAUAGAUAUAACUUAGAACUCCGAUAGCGAAGGCAGCUUACCAGACUGUAACUGACGCUGAUGCACGAGAGCGUGGGUAGCGAACAGGAUUAGAUACCCUGGUAGUCCACGCCGUAAACGAUGCUCACUGGUUCUGUGCGAUAUAUUGUACGGGAUUAAGCGAAAGUAUUAAGUGAGCCACCUGGGGAGUACGUCGGCAACGAUGAAACUCAAAGGAAUUGACGGGGGCCCGCACAAGCGGAGGAACAUGUGGUUUAAUUCGAUGAUACGCGAGGAACCUUACCUGGGUUUAAAUGGGAAAUGUCGUAUUUGGAAACAGAUAUUCUCUUCGGAGCGUUUUUCAAGGUGCUGCAUGGUUGUCGUCAGCUCGUGCCGUGAGGUGUCGGGUUAAGUCCCAUAACGAGCGCAACCCUUACCGUUAGUUGCUAGCAUGUAAUGAUGAGCACUCUAACGGGACUGCCACCGUAAGGUGAGAGGAAGGCGGGGAUGACGUCAAAUCAGCACGGCCCUUACACCCAGGGCUACACACGUGUUACAAUGGCCGGUACAGAGGGCCGCUACCAGGUGACUGGAUGCCAAUCUCAAAAGCCGGUCGUAGUUCGGAUUGGAGUCUGUAACCCGACUCCAUGAAGUUGGAUUCGCUAGUAAUCGCGCAUCAGCC